rnacentral:misc_RNA from 1 species
UCGAACAAAGAUUGUCGCUGGCGAAAGCAUGUGCACAUCUAACCUUCAUAUUUAUACACCUGUGCACCCUUUGUAGGUCCUUGAAAGAGGAUCUAUGUAUUUUCAUCAUCACACCUAAUGUAUGGUCUAGAAUGUGUACACCGUUGACCACUGGGCGACGGAAAUGAAAUAAUAAUA